rnacentral:misc_RNA from 1 species
GAUGAAGAACGUAGCGAAAUGCGAUACGUAAUGUGAAUUGCAGAAUUCAGUGAAUCAUCGAAUCUUUGAACGCAUAUUGCGCUCUCUGGUAUUCCGGAGAGCAUGCUUGUUUGAGUAUCAGUAAACACCACAACUUCCAUAUCUUUUUUGAAAUGGGAGUUGGACUUGAGUGAUCCCAACGCUUUUCCUCACCGAAAAGUGGCGGGUUACUUGAAAUGCAGGUGCAGCUGGACUUUCCUCUGAGCUAUAAGCAUAUCUAUUUAGUCUGCCUAAAAAACAGAUUAUUACCUUUGCUGCAGCUAACAUAAAGGAGAUUAGUUCUUGUGCUGACUGAUGCAGGAUUCACAAAGACGGCUUCGGCCGACUUUGUAAACUCGAUCUCAAAUCAAGUAAGACUACCCGCUGAACUUAAGCAUAUCAAUAAGCGGAGGA